rnacentral:rRNA from 1 species
GAUGAACGCUGGCGGCGUGCCUAAUACAUGCAAGUCGAGCGAACAGACGAGGAGCUUGCUCCUCUGACGUUAGCGGCGGACGGGUGAGUAACACGUGGAUAACCUACCUAUAAGACUGGGAUAACUUCGGGAAACCGGAGCUAAUACCGGAUAAUAUAUUGAACCGCAUGGUUCAAUAGUGAAAGACGGUUUUGCUGUCACUUAUAGAUGGAUCCGCGCCGCAUUAGCUAGUUGGUAAGGUAACAGCUUACCAAGGCAACGAUGCGUAGCCGACCUGAGAGGGUGAUCGGCCACACUGGAACUGAGACACGGUCCAGACUCCUACGGGAGGCAGCAGUAGGGAAUCUUCCGCAAUGGGCGAAAGCCUGACGGAGCAACGCCGCGUGAGUGAUGAAGGUCUUCGGAUCGUAAAACUCUGUUAUUAGGGAAGAACAAAUGUGUAAGUAACUAUGCACGUCUUGGCGGUACCUAAUCAGAAAGCCACGGCUAACUACGUG